rnacentral:rRNA from 1 species
UACGGGGGGUGCGAGCGUUGUCCGGAAUCACUGGGCGUAAAGGGCGCGUAGGCGGUUUGGUAAGGUUGUGGUGAAAGCCCGGGGCUUAACCCCGGGUCUGCCGUGACGACUGUCAGACUGGAGGGCUCGAGAGGCAGACGGAAUUCCGGGUGUAGCGGUGGAAUGCGUAGAGAUCCGGAAGAAGACCGGUGGCGAAGGCGGUCUGCUGGCGAGUACCUGACGCUGAGGCGCGACAGCGUGGGGAGCAAACAGG